UAUUCUGGAGAAUUAUAAGUGGCCUGCCAUGU
rnacentral:piRNA from 1 species